UUGAUCUAAUCAACUCCAGUUUUGUUGGUUUGUUUCAGAGUUGGUUCCUCUACCUUUCAAGCUUCACCAAACUUGCUCUUAACAGCAUUAGUUUCUUCACAAAGAAACUUUGUUUCCAAAAAGAAUGCCUUAAGAUUUAUGAACAUUUCAUGUCCAUCAGGCAGGUAGAAAAAAUAUUUCUAAAAUAAUAUUUAUCAGUCUAAGAUCCAAGCU
rnacentral:lncRNA from 1 species